UACGGAGGAUGCAAGCGUUAUCCGGAAUGAUUGGGCGUAAAGCGUCCGUAGGUGGCGAUUCAAGUCUGCUGUUAAAGCGCAGGGCUUAACCCUGUAAAGGCGGUGGAAACUGGAGAGCUAGAGUGUGGUAGGGGUAGAGGGAAUUCCCGGUGUAGCGGUGAAAUGCGUAGAGAUCGUGAAGAACACCAGUGGCGAAAGCGCUCUACUGGGCCACAACUGACACUGAUGGACGAAAGCUAGGGGAGCGAAUGGG
rnacentral:rRNA from 1 species